rnacentral:rRNA from 1 species
AUUGAACGCUGGCGGCAUGCCUUACACAUGCAAGUCGAACGGCAGCACGGGGCAACCUGGUGGCGAGUGGCGAACGGGUGAGUAAUGCAUCGGAACGUACCUUUCAGUGGGGGAUAACGUAGCGAAAGUUACGCUAAUACCGCAUAUUCUGUGAGCAGGAAAGCAGGGGAUCGCAAGACCUUGCGCUGAUUGAGCGGCCGAUGUCAGAUUAGCUAGUUGGUGAGGUAAAGGCUCACCAAGGCGACGAUCUGUAGCGGGCCUGAGAGGAUGAUCCGCCACACUGGAACUGAGACACGGUCCAGACUCCUACGGGAGGCAGCAGUGGGGAAUUUUGGACAAUGGGGGCAACCCUGAUCCAGCCAUGCCGCGUGAGUGAAGAAGGCCUUCGGGUUGUAAAGCUCUUUCGGCCGGGAAGAAAUCGCACGGGCUAAUACCCUGUGUGGAUGACGGUACCGGAAUAAGAAGCACCGGCUAACUACGUGCCAGCAGCCGCGGUAAUAC